GCGCACGCUGGCGGCAGGCUUAACACAUGCAAGUCGAGCGGACCUUUCGGGGUCAGCGGCGGACGGGUGAGUAACGCGUGGGAACGUGCCUUCCGGUUCGGAAUAACCCUGGGAAACUAGGGCUAAUACCGGAUACGCCCUUAUGGGGAAAGGUUUACUGCCGGAAGAUCGGCCCGCGUCUGAUUAGCUAGUUGGUGGGGUAACGGCCUACCAAGGCGACGAUCAGUAGCUGGUCUGAGAGGAUGAUCAGCCACACUGGGACUGAGACACGGCCCAGACUCCUACGGGAGGCAGCAGUGGGGAAUAUUGGACAAUGGGCGCAAGCCUGAUCCAGCCAUGCCGCGUGAGUGAUGAAGGCCUUAGGGUUGUAAAGCUCUUUUAUCCGGGACGAUAAUGACGGUACCGGAGGAAUAAGCCCCGGCUAACUUCGUG
rnacentral:rRNA from 1 species